rnacentral:rRNA from 1 species
CUGCCCAGAAGCGGGGGACAACAUUUGGAAACAGAUGCUAAUACCGCAUAACAACGUUGUUCGCAUGAACAACGCUUAAAAGAUGGCUUCUCGCUAUCACUUCUGGAUGGACCUGCGGUGCAUUAGCUUGUUGGUGGGGUAACGGCCUACCAAGGCGAUGAUGCAUAGCCGAGUUGAGAGACUGAUCGGCCACAAUGGGACUGAGACACGGCCCAUACUCCUACGGGAGGCAGCAGUAGGGAAUCUUCCACAAUGGGCGCAAGCCUGAUGGAGCAACACCGCGUGAGUGAAGAAGGGUUUCGGCUCGUAAAGCUCUGUUGUUAAAGAAGAACACGUAUGAGAGUAACUGUUCAUACGUUGACGGUAUUUAACCAGAAAGUCACGGCUAACUACGUGCCAGCAGCCGCGGUAAUACGUAGGUGGCAAGCGUUAUCCGGAUUUAUUGGGCGUAAAGAGAGUGCAGGCGGUUUUCUAAGUCUGAUGUGAAAGCCUUCGGCUUAACCGGAGAAGUGCAUCGGAAACUGGAUAACUUGAGUGCAGAAGAGGGUAGUGGAACUCCAUGUGUAGCGGUGGAAUGCGUAGAUAUAUGGAAGAACACCAGUGGCGAAGGCGGCUACCUGGUCUGCAACUGACGCUGAGACUCGAAAGCAUGGGUAGCGAACAGGAUUAGAUACCCUGGUAGUCCAUGCCGUAAACGAUGAGUGCUAGGUGUUGGAGGGUUUCCGCCCUUCAGUGCCGGAGCUAACGCAUUAAGCACUCCGCCUGGGGAGUACGACCGCAAGGUUGAAACUCAAAGGAAUUGACGGGGGCCCGCACAAGCGGUGGAGCAUGUGGUUUAAUUCGAAGCUACGCGAAGAACCUUACCAGGUCUUGACAUCUUGCGCCAACCCUAGAGAUUGGGCGUUUCCUUCGGGAACGCAAUGACAGGUGGUGCAUGGUCGUCGUCAGCUCGUGUCGUGAGAUGUUGGGUUAAGUCCCGCAACGAGCGCAACCCUUGUUACUAGUUGCCAGCAUUAAGUUGGGCACUCUAGUGAGACUGCCGGUGACAAACCGGAGGAAGGUGGGGACGACGUCAGAUCAUCAUGCCCCUUAUGACCUGGGCUACACACGUGCUACAAUGGACGGUACAACGAGUCGCGAACUCGCGAGGGCAAGCAAAUCUCUUAAAACCGUUCUCAGUUCGGACUGCAGGCUGCAACUCGCCUGCACGAAGUCGGAAUCG